rnacentral:sRNA from 1 species
GUCAGCACCCCGCUCUCUUUGUGACGGGGCUUCAUGCCUCCAACUUUAGAUAGCUCGUACCCGCCUCAGCCUAACGGCUACGUUUUCUGGAUCAUAAUACCCACGAAUGCGACGCUAGUUUGUGGCUCUAUUGUUAACAAUUAAACAGUUUUACGAGGGGUAAGACAGUGUUGUUAACGCCAAAAGUUCAGAAAACAUUGGCGAAGCGAACAUUACCCUAGAAAUAGG